rnacentral:rRNA from 1 species
ACCGUGUGAAUUAGAGUGUUCAAAGCAGGCAGAUCCAAUUGUCUGCCACCGAAUACAUUAGCAUGGGAUAAUGGAAUAGGACCCUGUCCUCCUAUGCUCAGUUGGUUUGCCGCGAGGACCAGGGUAAUGAUUAAUAGGGAUAGUUGGGGGCAUUAAUACUUAAUUGUCAGAGGUGAAAUUCUUGGAUUUAUGAAAGAUUAACUUCUGCGAAAGCAUCUGCCAAGGAUGUUUUCAUUAAUCAAGAACGAAAGUUAGGGGAUCGAAGACGAUCAGAUACCGUCGUAGUCUUAACCAUAAACGAUGCCGACCAGCGAUUAGGAGACGUUGAAUACAAAACACCACCAUGCGAUUGCGGUCGUCUUUGGUGUCGCUCACAAGGCGGCAUCGGGACGGCUUAGCUCGCAUGGCACCGGUGAAUGACUCCCUAGCAGCUC